rnacentral:rRNA from 1 species
GAGCUCUCAAUCUGUCAAUCCUUCCAGUGUCCGGGCCUGGUGAGAUUUCCCGUGUUGAGUCAAAUUAAGCCGCAGGCUCCACUCCUGGUGGUGCCCUUCCGUCAAUCCCUUUAAGUUUCAGCUUUGCAACCAUACUUCCCCCGGAACCCAAACGCUUUGGUUUCCCGAAAGCUUCCCGCAGAGCCUACAAAUGCAACUCAGCGGAUCGCUAGCUGGCAUCGUUUAUGGUUAGAACUAGGGCGGUAUCUGAUCGCCUUCGAACCUCUAACUUUCGUUCUUGAUUAAUGAAAACAUUCUUGGCAAAUGCUUUCGCAGUAGUUUGUCUUCAAACGGUCCAAGAAUUUCACCUCUGUCGUUUGAAUACAAAUGCCCCCGACUGUCCCUAUUAAUCAUUAAGUCGAUUUCCGAAACCCAACAAAAUAGAAACGACUUCCUAUUCUACUAUUCCAUGCACGAAUAUUCAAGCCUGAAAAGCCUGCUUUGAGCACUCUAAUUUUUUCAAAGUAAACCUGACGGCGCACCGGGACACUCAACGAAGAGCACCCCGGAACCUCCGCCAAUCACACAGCCAAAUGGGGCAGUCACGCUUUGGAGCGAACCGCCCCCUGGCUGCCGAGAUCCAACUACGAGCUUUUUAACCGCAACAACUUUAAUAUACGCUAUUGGAGCUGGAAU